rnacentral:rRNA from 1 species
UACGUAGGGUGCAAGCGUUGUCCGGAAUUAUUGGGCGUAAAGAGCUCGUAGGCGGUUCGUCGCGUCGGCUGUGAAAACCCGAGGCUCAACCUCGGGCCUGCAGUCGAUACGGGCGGACUGGGAGUUCGGCAGGGGAGACUGGAAUUCCUGGUGUAGCGGUGAAAUGCGCAGAUAUCAGGAGGAACACCGGUGGCGAAGGCGGGUCUCUGGGCCGAUAUCGACGCUGAGGAGCGAAAGCGUGGGGAGCGAACAGG